GUACAAUGAGCACAUAUGCUAAAGUUGGAAUGAUUCAGAGAAGAUUAGCAUGGGCCCUGCACAAGGAUGACACACAAAUUCAUGAAGCAUUCCAUUAAAAA
ensembl:snRNA U6 U6 spliceosomal RNA